rnacentral:rRNA from 1 species
CAGUGGGGAAUAUUGCACAAUGGGCGCAAGCCUGAUGCAGCCAUGCCGCGUGUAUGAAGUAAGGCCUUCGGGUUGUAAAGUACUUUCAGCAGUGAGGAAGGUGGGUAUGUUAAUAGCAUAUUCAUUUGACGUUAGCUGCAGAAGAAGCACCGGCUAACUCCGUGCCAGCAGCCGCGGUAAUACGGAGGGUGCGAGCGUUAAUCGGAAUUACUGGGCGUAAAGCGCAUGCAGGUGGUUUGUUAAGUCAGAUGUGAAAGCCCGGGGCUCAACCUCGGAAUUGCAUUUGAAACUGGCAAACUAGAGUACUGUAGAGGGGGUAGAAUUUCAGGUGUAGCGGUGAAAUGCGUAGAGAUCUGAAGGAAUACCGGUGGCGAAGGCGGCCCCCUGGACAGAUACUGACACUCAGAUGCGAAAGCGUGGGGAGCAAACAGGAUUAGAUACCCUGGUAG